GAGGAGGCUAGUAAUGAAUUCAGUAGACAUAAGAUGCAAGUGAAAGUAAUCUUACAUGUUGAGAAAAGUAGAAGACCGGUGAAAAUCAAAACUGAUUU